rnacentral:rRNA from 1 species
UGCGCAGGCGGGGAUGUAAGUCAGUGGUUAAAUACUGCCGCUCAACGGUAGAACUGCCAUUGAUACUGCAUCUCUUGAGUAUGGUUGAGGUAGGCGGAAUGUGUUGUGUAGCGGUGAAAUGCAUAGAUAUGACACAGAACGCCAAUUGCGAAGGCAGCUUACUAAACCAUUACUGACGCUGAGGCACGAAAGCGUGGGGAGCGAACAGGAUUAGAUACCCUGGUAGUCC